rnacentral:rRNA from 1 species
AAACUCCUACGGGAGGCAGCAGUAAGGAAUUUUCGGCAAUGGAGGCAACUCUGACCGAGCAACGCCGCGUGAACGAUGAAGUACUUCGGUAUGUAAAGUUCUUUUAUCAAAGAAGAAAAGCAAAUGGCGAACCAUUUGUCUGCCGGUAUUUGAUGAAUAAGCCCCGGCUAAUUAUGUGCCAGCAGCCGCGGUAAGACAUAAGGGGCAAGUGUUAUCCGGAAUUAUUGGGCGUAAAGGGUGCGUAGGCGGCAGAGUAAGUCAGUGGUGUAAUGGUAACGCUUAACGUUGUCAGGCUAUUGAAACUGCUUUGCUAGAGUUGGAUAGAGGCGAGUGGAAUUCCAUGUGUAGCGGUAAAAUGCGUAAAUAUAUGGAGGAACACCAGAGGCGUAGGCGGCUCGCUGGGUCUUAACUGACGCUGAGGCACGAAAGCGUGGGGAGCAAACAGGAUUAGAUACCCUGGUAGUCCACGCCGUAAACGAUGAGUACUAAGUGUCGGGUCAAAACCGGUACUGAAGUUAACACAUUAAGUACUCCGCCUGAGUAGUACGUACGCAAGUAUGAAACUUAAAGGAAUUGACGGGACUCCGCACAAGCGGUGGAUCAUGUUGUUUAAUUCGAAGAUACCCGAAAAACCUUACCAGGUCUUGACAUGUUCUUGCGAAACGGUAGUAAUAUCGUGGAGGUUACCAGGAACACAGGUGGCGCAUGGUUGUCGUCAGCUCGUGUCGUGAGAUGUUAGGUUAAGUCCUAAAACGAGCGAAACCCUUAUCGUUAGUUGCCAGCACGUUAUGGUGGGGACUUUAACGAGACUGCCAAUGAUAAAUUGGAGGAAGGUGAGGAUCACGUCAAAUCAGCAUGCCCCUUAUGACCUGGGCUACAAACGUGAUACAAUGGCUGCUACAAAGGGUAGCUGAAA